UUAACUGCAUUACAAACUGGUACACUGCAAAGGAGUUUUGAUGACCAGAGUAGAACUGCAUACGCUUUGGGAGCAAAAUGGGCAUAAAGUACACUUCCCGGGCUGCAGUCUGUCUGACUGCCGAGAGGCUCUGACUGAUUGAGUCUUUCCCGUCCGCGUCUGAGUUAGGCGCAGCCAUGACGGCUACAGUCGGCUGCACGACAACAAAGCAAUUUACCUCUACCAACUCCGCAGGACUGUAGGAUCAUACCUCACCUAUCUGCCAGCCUGCCUGCUCUUAACCCUACAUCCACCAGUCAUCUCCAGCUAGCCACACCAUUCCUUCUCAUUCAUCCAUCUUGCUCCUGUCUCUCCAGCCAUACCUCACUGCCCUCCGCCUCAGCCAGCUGCCUCCCUGCUCAUUCUACCUCCAGUCCCUGCUUCCCUUACAAUAAAUACCCUUUUCAGUUAAUCUACGUCUGCGUUUGGGUCUAAUCUGCAAAUCAUAACAUUUAAAGAAUGUUUGCAAGCCCUUAAAAAGUCUUGAAUUUAUUUUUGUUCAUACAGGUGUCUAAUACAUCAUGACAGAAUAUGUCAUGGUCAUAAAAGUCUGCAAUGUGUCCUUAGCUAAGACUACAACUUGCAUGUGCUUACUUGUGUGGCAAACUGUCUUAAAUGUUAUUCUAAGAAGCAUUUGAAAUGUUUAAAAAGCCUUAAAUUUAACUUGCUAAUGCCUGCAGAUGUUCUAUUUUAAUAUGUGUAGUUCUUAACUGAAAUGUAGUUCACCGCUUGAAAAAGAGUUGCCCUAACUACAUUUUGUUGGUAGGGAAUAUAAACAGAUCAGGCAAGAAAACAGGUUCAGAGCUUUGCUGUGCUUGUUGCUCAAUAGUGAGUUUAUCGCCUACUAAGUGGAGUUUUUUUCAUUUAACCCAUUAUCACCCAUACUUUUUGACUGAUUUACAUUAUGUUCUAAUAAUGAUAUAGCCUAAUAACAAGUAAUAAUUAGAAUGAAUUAAGGAAACUUAAAAUAAUCUAGCCUACCUUUUAAUGGGAUGAUAGGGAACAAUAUACAGCCAUACAUUUAGGACAUUUAUUUCUGUUAUUGUUUUCAGAGAGUAUAGGCCUAUACUUUGUGCAACAAACACAAACCUCUAUGCUCAUUUUUCUUAAACAGUGAAUGAUGAUCGUAAGAUAUGGUUGAAAGAUUCAAAAGCUUUUGAGUGGAUCUUUUAGCUUUGACUAUUCAAUUACAUAUAACAUUUUUGUUUUAUAAUAAACCUGUGUGUCUGUGGUGCUCACUA